rnacentral:rRNA from 1 species
UACGUAGGGUGCAAGCGUUGUCCGGAAUUAUUGGGCGUUAAGAGCUCGUAGGCGGUUUGUCGCGUCUGGUGUGAAAAUCCAGGGCUUAACCCUGGACCUGCAUCGGGUACGGGCAGACUAGAGUGCGGUAGGGGAGAUCGGAAUUCCUGGUGUAGCGGUGAAAUGCGCAGAUAUCAGGAGGAACACCGGUGGCGAAGGCGGAUCUCUGGGCCGUAACUGACGCUGAGGAGCGAAAGCAUGGGGAGCGAACAGG